CUGGCAUUUUCUGCCACCUGCACUGCAUGUUUGUUUCUUGCGUCCAUUUCAGGCAGCCCUCUUUCUUUGAAGAUGGUGGAAACAAACGUUCCUUCUCUAACAAACACUGCUCCUCUCCAUAGUCCAUGAUUCUUCACCUUCCCUGGAUAUCUGUAUGGUGGGCACAUUGGUCACUGACAUCGUUUCCCCUGGAUUGUGUUCUGAGUGUUUGGUGAAGCCUGGAGAAAAACCACCAUUAUCUUUGAAACUCAUCUGGAAGGCUGACAGAUCUUGA
ensembl:lncRNA